CCUACGGGUGGCAGCAGUGAGGAAUAUUGGUCAAUGGACGCAAGUCUGAACCAGCCAUGCCGCGUGCAGGAUGACGGCUCUAUGGGUUGUAAACUGCUUUUGUACGAGGAUAAACCCCGAUACGUGUACCGUGUUGAAAGUAUCUUACGAAUAAGGAUCGGCUAACUCCGUGCCAGCAGCCGCGGUAAUACGGAGGAUCCGAGCGUUAUCCGGAUUUAUUGGGUUUAAAGGGUGCGUAGGCGGUUUGAUAAGUUAGAUGGGAAAUGUGGGGGCUCAACCCCGAAACUGCCUUUAAUACUGUUGGACUAGAGAAUAGUUGCGGUAGGCGGAAUGUAUGGUGUAGCGGUGAAAUGCUUAGAGAUCAUACAGAACACCGAUUGCGAAGGCAGCUUACCAGACUACAUCUGACGUUGAGGCACGAAAGCGUGGGUAGCGAACAGGAUUAGAUACCCUUGUAGUC
rnacentral:rRNA from 1 species